AUGGUUGAGAAUUCAUUUUCAAAAUCACAAGCAAAUCAAUAUUUUAUUUUUUUCUCCAUGUCUAUAUUAAUUCUGGCUCUUUCUGUUUGUCUCUUCUUGACGAAAAUUUUGGUCCAGAAUCUUUCUGAAUUUGAUGCCUAUAUAAAGAUAGUUGUCAUUACUUCACUUUCAAGAAUAAGACAUGUCAGAGAGCCAAAAAAACGCAAAGAAACCAAAGAGAGCUCAGAAACUUAA
rnacentral:lncRNA from 1 species